CUUCCACAUCCGGUGCGGAAUAAUUAUCUGCUAAGCCAAAAAGCCAAUACACUGCGCCAAGUCCGACUUUUUAAUAACAUGGAUCAGCCUUUCGUCCCAAAGGUAGAAGUUACAGAACUCGAAUCACACAAAAAUGGAAGUCGCGAACGUAUGGCAGCUCGGAAGAAAUAACUUUGCACGAAUAAGUGAAAUUUCGGAAAGCAGAAGCCCAAAGAUGGCGCCGACACGACACCGGAAGUGGAUAGUGAGACGAAGCCUCACGCUGUAUGGCGGAGGGAUACGAAUAAAUGGACAAAUACAAUCA